rnacentral:rRNA from 1 species
GGGGUUGACGGUACCCUACUAGAAAGGAGCCGCUAACUUCGUGCCAGAAGCGUCGGUAAUACGGGGGCUCCAAGCGUUAUCCGGUGUUAUUGGGCGUAAAGAGUCGUGUAGGUGGUUGGGUAAGUUAUCUUUCAAAUAUCUUUGCUUAACAAAGAGGAGGGGGAUAAUACUGCUCGACUAGAAUUUUCUCAAGGGAGAUCGGAACUGAGGGAGGAGUAGUGAAAUGCGUUGAUACCCUCGGGAACACCAGUGGCGUAGGCGGAUCUCUGGGAGAAGAUUGACACUGAGACACGAAAGCUAGGGGAGCGAAGCAGAUUAGAGACCUGCGUAGUCCUAGCCGUAAACGCAUGCUUGCUAGCUGCAUGAAUCUACCUUCGGGUGGUAUCGUGUGGCGAAGGUAACCCGUUAAGCAAGCCGCCUGGAAAGUACGGCCGCAAGGCUGAAAUUCAAAGGAAUUGGCGGGGAGGCACACAACCAGUGGAACAUGUGGUUUAAUUCGAGACUAACCGAAGAACCUCACCAGGGUUUGACAUGUAGCUGCACGUCUUAAGAAAUUAAGACUCUCUUGAAGGUGCUACACAGGUGCUGCAUGGCUGUCGUCAGCUCGUUCCGUGAGGAGUGCCCUUAAGUGGGACAACGAGCGCAACCCCUAUUACAUGUUAGAAAUGUCAUGUAAGACUGCCUUGCCAUUUGGCGGGGAGGAAGGAGGGGCAGACGUCAAGUCCGCAUGGUCCUUAUGCCCUGGGCUACACACAUGUUACAAUGAGUACGGCAAUGAGUCUGUCGCGAGCACGUAAGUGUAAGCUAAUCUCUUAAAUGUACUCUCAGUGGGGAUUGAGGUCUGCAACUCGACCUCAUGAACACGGAAUUGGUAGUAAUCGCGGGUCAGCUAUACCGCGGUGAUACGUUCUUGCCUCUUGCGCACACCGCCCGUCAAACCAGCAAAGUCGAUUGUAUCCGAACCUCUCUUUU